UCUCAGACAUAAAUCAACCUCUAUUAGAUUUACCAGAGUACUACGAACAUUAAGUUUAAAACUCAAAGAGCUUGGCGGUGCUUUAGACUCCUCAGGGGAACCUGUCUCGUAAUCGACAAUCCACGAACCAACCUCACCUUUCCUUGUAAUACAGUAUGUAUACCGUCGUCGUCAGGUAACUUUUUAAAAUACAGAAGUUAGCAACUAAAUACUUUAAUUCUCACGUCAGAUCAAGGUGCAGCCUAUGGGAAGGAGUAGAUGGGUUACAAUUAAAAAUCAUAACUACGAAUCUCAUCUUUAACAAGAUUUUUGAAGGAGGACUUGAAAGUAAAAUCCAGCAGCUAAAUGCUUUGAAUCAAGCUCUAAAGCG
rnacentral:rRNA from 1 species